ACUCAAAGGAAUUGACGGGGGCCCGCACAAGCGGUGGAGCAUGUGGUUUAAUUCGACGCAACGCGAAGAACCUUACCCAGACUUGACAUCGAUGGAACCCUGUAGAGAUAUGGGGGUGCCCGCAAGGGCCCAGAAGACAGGUGCUGCAUGGCUGUCGUCAGCUCGUGUCGUGAGAUGUUGGGUUAAGUCCCGCAACGAGCGCAACCCUCGUCGUUAGUUGCCAUCACGUAAUGGUGGGCACUCUAGCGAGACUGCCGGUGUCAAACCGGAGGAAGGUGGGGAUGACGUCAAGUCCUCAUGGCCUUUAUGUCUGGGGCUACACACGUGCUACAAUGGCUGCUACAGAGUGACGCUAAUCCGCAAGGUAGAGCAAAUCACAAAAAAGCAGUCUCAGUUCGGAUCGGAGUCUGCAACUCGACUUCGUGAAGUCGGAAUCGCUAGUAAUCGAGGAUCAGCAUGCCUCGGUGAAUACGUUCCCGGGCCUUGCACACACCGCCCGU
rnacentral:rRNA from 1 species